GAUGAAGAACGUAGCGAAAUGCGAUUAGUAAUGUGAAUUGCAGAAUUCAGUGAAUCAUCGAAUCUUUGAACGCACAUUGCGCCCGCCAGUAUUCUGGCGGGCAUGCCUGUUCGAGCGUCAUUUCAACCCUCAGGCCCCCAGUGCCUGGUGUUGGGGAUCGGCCCAGCCUUCCUGUAAGGCCGCCGGCCCCGAAAUCUAGUGGCGGUCUCGCUGUAGUCCUCCUCUGCGUAGUAGCACAACCUCGCAGUUGGAACGCGGCGGUGGCCAUGCCGUUAAACACCCCACUUCUGAAAGUUGACCUCGGAUCAGGUAGGAAUACCCGCUGAACUUAAGCAUAUCAAUAAGCGGAGGA
rnacentral:misc_RNA from 1 species